GGGGCUGUGGCUCAGUGGUAGAGCGCUCGCCUAGCAUGCCUGAGGCACAGGGUUCGAUUCUCAGCACCA
rfam:Ictidomys tridecemlineatus contig071155, whole genome shotgun sequence.